GGGGUUCUGAUCGUCCUCAGAGCUGCUCCCUCAGACUCUGGCAGAUACUUCUGUGACCAUGAAGCAGCUGUGGAGCUGACAGUGAUCCCAUCAGAUCAUGAAACAAGCGCAGCAGCAACAACUACAACAGUUACUCAUCAGCCUGCAGUGACAUCUGCCCCGUCAGCCAGCCGUCACCUGUUUGACUUGGGGAUCCGAGCCCUUGUGGUCUUCGUCUGCAGCCUUGUUCUCGUCAUCAUUUACUUUAUUUGGAGACAAAAGUCCAAAAGACGAGCAUGACAUCACAGCAGGCAGCAUGUUUCACUGUCUUUAAGGAGGAGCUGACUCUGAUCUGUCUGCAGGGACUGACAAACAGCUCCACGUCUGUGAUGAGACACCAGCUGGAGCAGAACUUCAUCUUAUAAAUGGAGCAGCGCCUGCAUCAACAUGCUGACAGCCCUGCAGGUAAAUGUGG